rnacentral:sRNA from 2 species
CCAUCAUGCUUUAAUAGCUAAUACUUUUCUCAACAUUGAAUAACAUACAUUUGAUAUAAAUUUUCUUUUUUCAUAAUAGUUAUUAUACUGUUAACAUUUUAGUUAUCUCUCAAACAAUAGUAAUUAUUAAAUCAGAACUUACAUGUAUACUCUAUCAGUGUUAUGACAGACUAAAAAGUGUCUAUCUAACUUAUUAAUGAGUUGAUUGUCAAGCUUUGUAAGGUCAUUUAGUCUCCAUUAUUAUAUUGCAUUGUAAAUUGUUUUUGAAAUUAUGGAUGGAGGUAGAAUGUUGGUUAAUUGUAACUAUCUAGCGAGUACAGCACCCUUUAUGUGAAACUGUAAGGCAUAAAUUGUGAACUUAAGACGAUGGUAAUUAGAGAAAUGGUGGUCAAAGUUGAGCAUACACUUG